GUCGAGCGAAGCAGACCUUUCGGGGGAUGCUUAGCGGCGGACGGGUGAGUAACACGUGGGUAACCUGCCUCAAAGAGGGGGAUAGCCUCCCGAAAGGGAGAAUAAUACCGCAUGAGGAGUGCCUUUCACAUGGAGGGCACUUUAAAGGAGAAAUCCGCUUUGAGAUGGACCCGCGGCGCAUUAGCUAGUUGGCAGGGCGGAGGCCUACCAAGGCGACGAUGCGUAGCCGACCUUAGAGGGUGAACGGCCACAUUGGAACUGAGAGACGGUCCAGACUCCUACGGGAGGCAGCAGUGGGGAAUAUUGCACAAUGGGCGGAAGCCUGAUGCAGCAACGCCGCGUGAGUGAAGAAGGUUUUCGGAUUGUAAAGCUCUGUCAUAUGGGACGAUAGUGACGGUACCAUAUGAGGAAGCCACGGCUAACUACGUGCCAGCAGCCGCGGUAAUACGUAGGUGGCAAGCGUUGUCCGGAAUUACUGGGCGUAAAGGGUGCGCAGGCGGACAUUUAAGUGAGAUGUGAAAGACCCGGGCUUAACUUGGGCAGGGCAUUUCAAACUGGGUGUCUUGAGUGCAGGAGAGGAGAACGGAAUUCCUAGUGUAGCGGUGAAAUGCGUAGAGAUUAGGAAGAACACCAGUGGCGAAGGCGGUUCUCUGGACUGUAACUGACGCUGAGGCACGAAAGCGUGGGUAGCAAACAGGAUUAGAUACCCUGGUAGUCCACGCCGUAAACGAUGAGUACUAGG
rnacentral:rRNA from 1 species